UCUCUUUCUCCUUUUGCUCAAUUCCCAGCUGCUCUGCAGCCUGAACUUCUGCCUACCCAUCUCCAACGCCCCGUGGCAGCUCCCAUCUGGGCUACAGCAGUGCCUGUCGAGGCAGGUUGUGAUCCAAGCCCCUACGCCUUCCAGAAGCCCUUCCCCUCUCUGACGACGGGCCGGUGUCCUCCGUAAGCGGACCGGUUCGGGUGCCCGACACACCUAGAUUCUGGUUUGAGCUGUUAUAGUUGCUGGCUGUGCGGUCUCCAGGAACUUCUCCCACCCCCUUGGACCCGGGUUGCCUUUUCUGUGAAGUGGGACUGGGAAUCUCUGUUCUGCCUACCUUCUAGGGUUAUUUUGAAGAGGAGAAAAAGACGCUACACAUUCAUCGCAUCAUUUACGAAACGGAGAUUGAUCAUUCAGCCGUGUGCCAGCCGCUGGAGAUGAAAGGCCGUCGUUCAACUGUAACGUGUUAUACAAAUAGGACGCUCUCCUCCGAUGCGGAAAAUUCACGACCCGCUGGGUCAGACUGGGUGUGUUUGCUCUGCUUCCCUCACCUGUCUUCUCUCCCGGUUAAGAGUGACCGCUAGCUACCCGAGUACUGCCCGCUCACAAACAUUCAGGGCAAAGCUAGCUCUAGUAAGAGAACUUCGUAAAUGGAAAACAUCAGCUGGCAUUAGAAAGAUCUACGGUGACGAAACCUCUGUGUGUUUGGAAGCCUCACUAAUCUUGCACCAGAAGGCCGUCCGUGAGGGGAUGGUCAGUGACAUUUUUCCUAUUUGCUGCAGCAUUGACAAGCAGGGCCCCAGACCGAGGACAAAGAGGAGAGCAUCACAAAUUGGCCAAUGUUGGACAACGGAGUAACAGGAGCAAAGCAUCACUCCAGGUGGGCAGGCAGGAAACAGCUGGCUGGGAAAGGUGCCCAUGACCCAUUGCCCCAGUCCACCCUUGGCCUGGAAGAAGUCAGACCGGAAGUGGCCAGGGAACUUGCAAGACCUGCAAAGAGCCGGUGUUAAAGAGCCAGGUACCUUUUUGGAAAGACUGAGUUAUGAAAAGAGACCAGAGGAAUAUUAAAAUCCCUUUUAACGCGACGUUCUAUGCCACGGCUAAUAUGACAGCAGCCGUGACCCAACCAUGGAAAACUAUCACCAAGUUCAAAACCAAUUUAAUAAUAAGAGACAUUGCAAUUUUCUGACCGCUAGAGGGCAGGCCUGGCCACACCUUGAGGAAGAUCCAUCCUCCAGUGUAGUUGUGUCAAACGAGUUACACCGGAGUUCAUUUAAACUGUUGCAAAGAGUGUGAAAAGGAAAAAUUGGGAUGCGCACGGAGCUUGCAUCACCUGGCCGGCAGGACAUGCUCAUCUGUAAGGUGGAAUCCAUGGUUCUUUCUCCUGCCGUCCGUAUCCACCCUAGUCAGGAGCUCACUUCUGUCAGAACCCCCAGUCGUCUAUGUUUGCGAAUGAUUAAACCACAGCCCGAUGUUCAGUUGACUGCGCGGUCUUCCAGUUAGCGUACAGAAAGGUGAAAUGGCUUGUCCAGAGCGACGGCCACCUGGCUUCUAAACGGUGAAGACCUGACGUGGGGGCCCUGGUCUCCAGGCCUGCAGGCCUCCUGGGCCUCCUGCAGGCCUCUCCCACAGGGCAAGCACUUGCUGCUGCUACUUUGUUUUCAACACCCCGACCACGGGUGAACCAAGACCAGAAGGUAAUCGAGCACAGUCCUCCUCGGCACUAGCGAUCGGUAGCCCUGUGGCAUUCUGAAGCAUUUGGGACUGAGUCUUCUGUGGCCCAGGGACAAGUCUCUCUACAACAAAGAUGUUAGACACGUGCCUUUGCUGACAGCAGUGUUCCAUUUGUUUCUUCGAACGAGUCUUGCUGCUGAGGGUACCAUCUGCCGGCCUGAACUUCCAGCCUGUUGCUCACCAACUUCCUCCUUACGUCGCUCACGGUAAGUCACCGGAGAAUUCGAGCCCUGUUGUUCCUCCUUGAGCUGUGCCCUUGGCCUCAGCACUUUGAUGAAGCGUUUUAACCCUACAUGCGAGACCCCCUCGUUGUACUCAGGGAAGCCCUGUCCGUGAAAUAAUCCAAACCCUGUCAAAGGCUUCAGAUUGGGAUAUAAAGUGCUCUGUCAGUAACGCAACCUGGGAGCAUCUUUCAAAGGACUGCGUCCUCACAGAGACAUUUGAUUUUAGUUUUCAUGUAGGUUUCAUUUAGACUAUCCCAGCUAAUCACCAUUCCUCCCUGGGGAAUAGGUUGGCUUGAAUAUCGCUGUUGGGAUGCCACAGACCAGAUCCCCACCGACAGGCAGGGGGCAGGCCUCAUGGUUCCUUCAGCAGGAGAUGUAAACAUGGGUGGUAGCCAGUGUGGUUCAGUCCACUGUGGACUGAAGUCUUCAGCGCCCUCCACACAUCCCUGAUGACUAGAAAAACACAUGUGGAGAAUUAUGCUUUUUACCACUGGCGUUGCCUGGUUUAUAGCUUGGCAUGGCGGGAGGGGUGCAUUCUCAUUGUGAUACAACCUGGUGGAGAAAUGAAUCGAGCCUUGGAUUAGGGAAAGAGGUAGCUCUGUUUCCUCCUUUCUCGGGGGCUGAAGGGGGUAAGAGCUUGGACUCAAGGUGUACAGAGAAAAAUCGAACAAGGCUCUAUCGGGGGACUGAGCCAGCCCUUGAACUAUAGCGUGUAGGAGGGAAGGGAAAACAAUCCUACAUCUAUGGAUCCUAGGAAUUGUGCUAUCUGAUAUCUAGUUUAAAAUGUUCUUUCUUCCCUUGCAUCCCAUUCAAGAUGUCAGUAGUGUUUUAUCAGACAUCAGAGCUGGCACGCCCUGGACUGCAGAGAAUCAAGACAGGACCUGUGUCCUCUUGGCAUGGGCUACCCUGAGACAUGGGCCACAUCCCUGGGGUUGUUUCUUCUGAGAAACUCGCAUAGCGAGAGCUUGCAAAACAGUUGUGUGAUGGCGAGAGGUGACCAGCAGAGGACCCAAGCAGUGGUCCAGAGUGAGAGCUAGUAAAUGAGGACCAAGGUAGAUUUGUUACAACGCAGAAAUAUUCCCUGAAGAUUCGCAGGAGUGAUAAGGUGGAGGAGUCUCCCAAUAAAAGAUAUUUGAUAAUACAUAAGUAAAAUAUAGUAUAGGAGCUCGGGCAAAAUUAGUUGGGUAUUAAGCGGAAGGGGCUCCCUUGAACACUAAAGAGCCUUGAGAAAUUAAAGGUCCGUAUUGUUCACUUCCUUCUGUUUGGUUGCCCAUGGUUUUACAUCUCCUAAAAUAAACUCAACUGAAGAAGGUUGAGAUCACCUUUGUUAGGACGUUCAAAGAGGCGCCCCGGGGUGGCUCAGUGGGUUGUCUGACUCUUGAUUUUGGCUCAGGUCAUGAUCUCGCAGUUGUGGGACUGAGCCUCCCAU